GCAUUACUACUGGUCUAGUGGUCAGGAUAUUGGACUCUGAAGCCAGAAACCCAAGUUCAAAUCUCGGUGGGACCU